rnacentral:pre_miRNA from 12 species
AUCCUGAGUCCUCGGGAGUCAAGAAGGGCCAGAACUGUGUCAGAACUGUGACCGGCCCUUCUUGACUCCCGAGGACUCAGGAU